CCUACGGGAGUCAGCAGUGGGGAAUAUUGCACAAUGGGGGAAACCCUGAUGCAGCGACGCCGCGUGAGUGAAGAAGUAAUUCGUUACGUAAAGCUCUAUCAGCAGGGAAGAAACACUGACCUUACGGUCAACAGACGGUACCUGAGUAAGAAGCACCGGCGAACUACUUGCCAGCAGCCGCGGUAAGACGUAGGGGGCAAGCGUUGUCCGGACUGACUCGGUGUAAAGGGUGUGUAGGUGGCUUAUUAAGUGAGAGGUGAAAGCCCGAAGCUCAACUUCGGAACUGCCUUUAAAACUGGUUGGCUUGAGUGUGGGAGAGGUUAGUGGAACUCCUAGUGUAGCGGUGGAAUGCGUAGAUAUUAGGAAGAACAUCAGAGGCGAAGGCGACUAACUGGAACAUUACUGACACUGAAACACGAAAGCGUGGGGAGCAAACAGGAUUAGAUACCCUGGUAGUC
rnacentral:rRNA from 1 species